rnacentral:rRNA from 1 species
AUUGAACGCUGGCGGCAGGCUUAACACAUGCAAGUCGAGCGGGGGAAGGUAGCUUGCUACUGGACCUAGCGGCGGACGGGUGAGUAAUGCUUAGGAACCUGCCUAUUAGUGGGGGACAACAUCUCGAAAGGGAUGCUAAUACCGCAUACGUCCUACGGGAGAAAGCAGGGGAUCUUCGGACCUUGCGCUAAUAGAUGAGCCUAAGUCGGAUUAGCUAGUUGGUGGGGUAAAGGCCUACCAAGGCGACGAUCUGUAGCGGGUCUGAGAGGAUGGACGGCCACCGUGGGGCUGGGACACGGCCCAGACUCCUACGGGAGGCGGCAGUGGGGAAUAUUGGACAAUGGGGGGAACCCUGAUCUAGCCAUGCCGCGUGUGUGAAGAAGGCCUUAUGGUUGUAAAGCACUUUAAGCGAGGAGGAGGCUACUCUAGUUAAUACCUAGGGAUAGUGGACGUUACUCGCAGAAUAAGCACCGGCUAACUCUGUGCCAGCCGCCGCCGUAA